CUAGGCUCUAGGAUCAGUAGAGUCAGCACAAUAAACUGGGAAGAGCUGCAUCUCCCCUCUGUCAGCAACAAGGGACUUGACAACCCAUUCACUGAGGCCGAGGUUUGGGUAGCGAUUGUGGCUUCACCGGCAGAUAAAGCACCGGGUCCUGACGGCUUCUCGGGGAUGUUCUUCAGAUCUUGCUGG
rnacentral:rRNA from 1 species